rnacentral:rRNA from 1 species
AUAAGCAAAAUAAGGGCGUAUGGGGGAUGCCUAGGCUCUCAGAGGCGAUGAAGGGCGUGAUAAGCUGCGAAAAGCUACGGGUAUUGGCACACACGAUAUAAUCCGUAGAUACCCGAAUGGGGCAACCCAAUGCAUUGAAGAUGCAUUACACCGAUAGGUGAGCAAACCCGCUGAACUGAAACAUCUAAGUAGGCGGAGGAGAAGAAAACAAAAGUGAUUCCGUAAGUAGUGGCGAGCGAACGCGGAUUAGCCCAAACCAAGGAUGUUACGGCAUAUUUGGGGUUGUAGGACCACGAGAUUUCUUGCUAAUUGAAUUAGAAUUACCUGGAAAGGUAAGCCAAAGAGGGUGAUAGCCCCGUAUAAGUAAGAGAGGAUAAGGAUAGUGGUAUCCUGAGUAGGGCGGGGCACGUGAAACCCUGUCUGAAUUUGGCGGGACCAUCCGCUAAGGCUAAAUACUCCUGAGAGACCGAUAGUGAACCAGUACUGUGAAGGAAAGGUGAAAAGAACCGUGAAUAACGGAGUGAAAUAGAUCCUGAAACCAUACGCUUACAAGCGGUCGGAGCAGCAUAAGCUGUGACGGCGUGCCUUUUGCAUAAUGAGCCUACGAGUUAACGUUGCCGGCAAGGUUAAGUGAUUCAGUCACGGAUCCGUAGCGAAAGCGAGUCUGAAUAGGGCGAAUUAGUCGGUAGUGUUAGACGCGAAACCGUGUGAUCUACCCAUGGGCAGGAUGAAGCUGUGGUAACACAUAGUGGAGGUCCGAACCGGUUGACGUUGAAAAGUCUUCGGAUGACCUGUGGGUAGGGGUGAAAGGCCAAUCAAACUCGGAAAUAGCUCGUACUCCCCGAAAUGCAUUUAGGUGCAGCGCUGAUCGUAAAGUUAUAUAGAGGUAGAGCUACUGAUUGGAUGCGGGGGCUUCACCGCCUACCAAUUCCUGACAAACUCCGAAUGCUAUAUAAUGUUUAUCAGCAGUGAGGGCUUGGGUGCUAAGGUCCAAGUCCGAGAGGGAAAGAACCCAGACCAUCAGCUAAGGUCCCCAAAUAUAUGCUAAGUUGAAAAAACGAGGUUUGUCUGCCCAGACAGCUAGGAUGUUGGCUUGGAAGCAGCCAUUCAUUUAAAGAGUGCGUAACAGCUCACUAGUCGAGCGGACGAGCAUGGAUAAUAAUCGGGCAUAAGCAUAUUACCGAAGCUAUGGAUUUGUAGUAAUACAAGUGGUAGGGGAGCAUUCUAACAUCGCGGAAGGUGUAGCGUGAGCUAUGCUGGAGAGGUUAGAAAAGAAAAUGUAGGCAUAAGUAACGAUAAUGCGGGCGAGAAACCCGCACACCGAAAGACUAAGGUUUCCGCAGCUAUGCUAAUCAGCUGCGGGUUAGUCGGGACCUAAGGCGCACCCGAAAGGGGAAGUCGAUGGCCAACGGGUUAAUAUUCCCGUACUACUUAUUGUUGUGAUGGAGUGACGCAGUGGUGAAAGUACCGCGGACUGACGGAAGUGUCCGUUGAAGGUUGUAGCUAUAUUCUAGAUAGGCAAAUCCGUUUAGAAUGGCAAAGACUGAUAGUACUCGGAGUCUUCGGACAAAGAGAUAGUGUACCUAAAGGCUGCCAAGAAAAGCUUCUAAACUUAGAUAAUAAGUACCCGUACCGUAAACCGACACAGGUAGUCGAGGAGAGAAUCCUAAGGUGCUCGAGAGAUUCAUGGCUAAGGAAUUAGGCAAAAUAGACCUGUAACUUCGGGAGAAAGGUCGCCAGCAGCAAUGCUGGCCGCAGUGAAAAGGUCCAGGCGACUGUUUAUCAAAAACACAGGGCUCUGCCAAAUCGUAAGAUGAAGUAUAGGGCCUGACACCUGCCCGGUGCUGGAAGGUUAAGAGGAGAUGUUAUCAGCAAUGAGAAGCAUUGAAUUGAAGCCCCAGUAAACGGCGGCCGUAACUAUAACGGUCCUAAGGUAGCGAAAUUCCUUGUCGGGUAAGUUCCGACCUGCACGAAUGGUGUAACGAUCUGGACACUGUCUCAGCCAUGAGCUCGGUGAAAUUGUAGUAUCGGUGAAGAUGCCGAUUACCCGCAGUGGGACGAAAAGACCCUGUGCACCUUUACUAUAGCUUAGUAUUGGUCUUGGAUAAGUGAUGUGUAGGAUAGGUGGGAGACUGUGAAGUGGCGUCGCUAGGCGUUGUGGAGUCAUUGUUGAAAU